UACAGAGGUCCCAAGCGUUGUUCGGAUUCACUGGGCGUAAAGCGCGCGCAGGCGGUCCUUUAAGUCAGGGGUGAAAGCCCAGAGCUCAACUCUGGAACUGCCUUUGAAACUAGAGGACUUGGGUACGGGAGAGGUGAGUGGAAUUCCGAGUGUAGAGGUGAAAUUCGUAGAUAUUCGGAAGAACACCAGUGGCGAAGGCGGCUCACUGGCCCGUUACCGACGCUCAGGCGCGACAGCGUGGGGAGCAAACAGG
rnacentral:rRNA from 1 species